ensembl:lncRNA
GUCCCACGACUGGGCUCCAGGCACAUCUGCAGCUACCCAGGGCUGAGACGGGCAAGUCCCACCCCAGCCGCGAGGCCCCGGGCUCGGGGCAGCUGGGCCCUGCUGACUACAGAGUGACGCCCAGCGCGAGAGAACCGCUCCAUUGUUUUGCCUCCUACUUGAAUCCUCAAGGAAGCAGCAACAGCAACAAUCGGAUUUUGAAUAACAGCUUCAUUUGAACCAAUUAAAAGAGGACCGAUUUUGCUUUCAAUUCGAUUUGCGAUGGCAGCACACUCUAGGAAACGGAAUCGUUUCUGAGACGAAGGAAUAAAAACAAAGCCGGCCCCUCAUUCACAUCACAAAGAGCCUGGGAUGCGGAGGUUUUUGGGGGCAACCGAGGUUUCAAAGGGCGGAUCGCAUCACAGCCCCCCAAGCGCAAGGCAUCUCCAGCCAGCGUGCCUCCUGCCCCCGCCCCACUCGGCACAUGUGGUGGGGGGCUGCGGGGGGUUGCCGGGACCGGAGUCACGGGUUCUGCUCCGCAAAGCACCGCAGCUGGCCAAGCAGACUCAAGACGGGCCUGCAGGCGCCGGCUGUUUUGAUCCCAGGCUGCACUGGAAUAUUUGAGCCCUGCCGACGGAUGUGAUAUAAAAAUACAGCCGGCUGCCAGCACGCCCGGGAAGGACCGCUUCCUCGCCAGCGAGCGCCCCGGCAACGAGUCUUCUCCCAGCCCUCAGCCCCCACCCCCAGAGCUGGGGGCAGGACUCAAAGACUGGAGCUGCUCUUCUGAAGUGUGAACAAUCCUGCCUGCUCCAAGCGAUUUUUUUUUUAACUCCAUACUGAGCUGUAAGGGAAUAUUUGGAUGAUUCUUCUCCCCGCCCCACCCCCGCCGCCUUCUACAAACUCAGCAAUUGAAUUAAAAUACAG